GACCUCCGGGCCUAGCCAGCCUCUGCAGGUUCGGGGAUUUGGAAGAUGAGAUGAUUAGAGACCAGCUCGCCGAACACACGACGGACCUUAAACUGCGGGAGAAGCUGUUUUUAUCCCCAGAUGACACGUCGCUGUCUAGGGCGGUGGAAAUGGCCUUCCAGCUCGAGUCUGCGGCUUAGGUUAGCGCAUAAUCUGUUCUGUGGCAGAAUAAACCACAUGGCUAUGCAGGUAAACAGGUCGUCUACCCUGUUUACCCAGAUAGGUUGGCCACGUUCUGGCCUUAAAGUUGUGUGCUAUUAAUAUGUUU